GUGAGGUAGAGAGAGCGCGGGGUCUGUGUGUGUGUAUGUGAGGUGGAGAGAGAGGGGCGCUUGCUGUGUGAGUGUGUGUGUUCAGCUCAAGUGCUAGUUUUAGACUGUUAGCUUGUUAGCUCACUAGCCUGCUGUUAUUUUGGCGUUGUUGUAGCCAACAGUUUUUUGUGACAACUGUAAAAACUGUAAAAUAUCCUUUACUAAGAACAAUGACAAAAAGGACACUGAACCUCACAACAAGGACUCCAUUUCCCAGCAUGCUUACUCACCGGGAUCCCUGACUCUUUAAUCAAUCCAAGGGCGUGCAAGACGUUCCUUGCCAUCAUUUAUUGAAAGGGUCCCAAUAUUUCCUCUUCAUGUGGAUCUGGUGUGGACGAGCAGCCAUGGAGGAAUGUGAAAUGUGUGUUGGCGGGUGGUGCGGCGAGUGAUGACUCCCCCUGUGUAAUUUUUAUGGACAGAAUUUGCAAAUGACGUCCCAGCAGGUGCAAUUAGUCUGAUUGCCUAGCAACGGAAUGUGACUUCGGUAGGAAGAAACGCAAAAAAGGAGCCUGGGACACUAAAACUGGAGAGCCACCAAAGCUGCAAGAUGAAGCCUGGAGGUGACUAACACUUGUUUUGGAGCUGUAAGCUGUGUCAGAAAAUCCUACACUGCUCCUUUAACCCUUUGAACCCUGAGCUUAUUGUGGAGUUGUUAACAUUAAAGGCUCAACAGCAUAAAAAAUCCUUACUUAAAAUUUAAUUUUAAUGUAAAAUGGGCACAGCUAAAAAGUUACAAUGUACCACUCCCUUCCUAAUCUAAACUUUUGGGAUGCCCUGAUCCACAGACAAACUUUUUACACACAUUUACACACAGUUUCUGUUGAUAUACUGAAUCUGCUGACUUGCCACAGACAGUAGUUACAGAUCCCUCUGUCAGAAGAAGUCUGCUGGCUGUGUACUGUCUGAAGUUCUCAACCAAAAUUGAUCAAAAUGUCAGAUUUUCAGCUGAUUUAGUGGGUAAGCCCACUAAGCCAGUGGCAGUUCUAUGCAAGAAGUUUACUUAUUAUGAUGUAAAGUUUUUUGCGAUUGAUUCGCACUUGGAGUGUUAAUAGGGGUACUGAAAAACAAAAGCACGCAAAAUCCCUGUUCGGAUGGGAUUAGUUUCUCAAGGGGGACGUCUACGAAAAAUAUUUCGCUCUAAAAGACACUGGAGCAGAGAAGAGACUCGUGUAAUUACGCUGCGUAGCAGUGGACAAAUAGCUAUUUUAUUAAAUGUAAGGUGGCAAAACUCAGAGAUGUGAGUCCGGACAGGACUAAAAUUACCGGAGGACCACGGAGUUCAGAAAAAAACAGUAGGUAAUUCAGCCUGUACUAUUCUCAGAGGACGUCUGAGAAAAACACGCACAUGGUCAUUCUGGAAGAGAAUAAAAUCACAGAAGACCCCCCAUAAAAGUGAAAAAGCAGUGCUAGGAGCACAUGUGGAUGUGUGUAGAUGAAGAUUUAUACAUGAUAAACUCUGAAUGAUCAGUUGAUGAUGUUUAAAUGUGUGUGCUGGAGACUCGACUCUGGAGAAGGAGUCUGUAAUAUGGAGCAGGACUGGGAGAUGCUACCCUACAGUCAUACACAUGAAUCCUACUAAGCUUUUCAUGUUCUGCAGCAGAGGAGCCUGGCUUUGGUCCUGGAGGACCCAUGAGCAGCAAAAUUAACAAACUGGGUUUAUAUAAACGUGUACUGAUUUCAGAUUUUACUGCUGUUUUUGUUUAUGUGGAAUCUGCUCGUCUUUAUAUCGUUCAGGUGGAAUCACAAUAAUACAGGACAGAACGUUUUCUGAACAUUACAGUUCACAUUCUUAAUCCCUUUCUGGAUGGGAUUAGUUUCUCAGGGGGAUGUCUGUGAAAAAUAUUUUACACUUCUUGCAUCAGAACUGCAAUUGUCUUUCUUAGUCACGUGACAUUGCAUUCAGUAGCUCCUCCAUUUCCACUCGCUGUUGUGUUUAUGUGUAUCUCCAUGGAAACGCGCAACCAAAAUGCAAUUAGGGUGCGUAGCACUGGACAAAUAGCUAUUUUAUUAAACACGAGGUGACGAAACUCAGAGAUGAGUGUCCGGACAGGACUAAAAUUACCGGAGGACCACGGAGUCCAGCGAAAAACAGUAGAUAAUUCAGCCUGUAAUUACUCAUUUCUCAGAGGACGAGAAAAACACAUACAUGGUUGUUCCCGACAGGAAUAAAAUUACAGAGCCCCCCCCCCCCAUGAAAGAGAGAAUUACCCCAGGACCCCUUGAGAAACUAAUCCCUCUGGAUAGGGCUUUAGAAAGUUCAAUCGGUCAAGUUUGGAUGUUCUUAGAAUGUUUUAAGCUUCAACAUUCUGGUAGCAUUUUUGCAACAUGAUUUGUGCCAAUGUUUUCAGUUUUAGUUUUGGAAAGAUUUUAACUUUUAACGUUUAGUACCUUUUAAUGUUAGUAUUUGUCAAAUGUGAUGCAAACCUUUAUUAUGUCAAAUGAGUUCCAGGAUUGUUUUUUUUUUAUAUAUAUAAUUUUAUUUCAGAUUUUUCCCCAUUUUCUCCCAAUUUGGAUAUCCAAUUGUCCCACCCCUUUGUGCGUCCCCAUCACCGGUGACGCCCGUGACAUUUAGAGGACUUCGAGCACACGCCUCCUCCGACACGUGGGAAGUCAGUCACCCAUUUUUUCGAGCUGCUGCUGAUGAAUCAUUGCCUGAGCAGCUAGCGCACUCGGAGGAAAGCACAGCGGCUAGGUUCCGAUUCAUCCGCUCACAGACGCCUCGUGCCGCCCAGCGCCACCUUAAGUGUGAUGGGGAGAGAGCGCCAUCUACCCACCCCAGAGGGAGCAGAGCCAAUUGUGCUCCCUCUAAGCACCGGCAGUUGAUGGCAAAGCUGCAUGAGCGGGGGUUCGAACCUGCGCUCAUAGUGGCAGCCCACUAGACCGCUGGACCACUCGGCGCCCAGUCCAGGAUUGUUUUUUUCUGUAACGUUACAAUCUAACCUUUCUGGAACAUUGCUAAACUGUUUUUUAAAACAUUAUCUGUUAGCAAGUUUGGCACAUUAUAGCACACUGGUACGCUGUUGAAGCUGUUAUGCUCCAAACUGACCAUUAACUCAUAUUUUCAAGCAAUUCUUUGUAGAUUCUGAUCUUAAUCUGCACUGAAACAGUUUAUAUGUACAGUGAAAGUUGCCAAUGCCAACAUCAUCAGACAACUAUUCAGGUCCAACUAGGCUUCAAUUUAGCUGGGUAAGCAAGAAGAGACAAGCCCUGGGUUAAUUAUUUUGACCUCACUUAUGGUUGCGAAGAAAAUGUGUGGGUUAAAUGCAGAUUUUGACCAUCAUUAAUUUACUGUGCGUACAGUGUCUGUGCAGCGACUACUCACUUCUUCUAUCAUCCGUACAGUACAACAUGCUGAAUUCAGAACUAUCAGUAUUAUUAUCAGCCUGUAUAAGUAGUAAUGGGGUGGCUCCUGCUGAGAAACUUGUUUUUUAGAUUUAUGCACAUAAUUGAAAGCAGAAUAAGGUUUGUACAUUAGUCAUGAAUGCUGCAUGUUAUGAUUUAAGGCUGUUUUUUUUUUGCCAGUCUUUCUACAUCUAAUGUCAAACCAGUUUGUUUUUUUAUAAACAUCAUACAGGCCAAUGCUGAUUAUAAUACAUUACAAUACAAUAUGUUUUUAACAUUGCUUUUUCAGCAGUAAACAUAUAAACAGGGUAAACUAGUUAGAGCAAUUGAGCUAAUUGAGUUGAUAUGUGUGCCAAAUUAGUCAGUUAUGCUAUUAGAAUCAGGUUUAUUCUAUUUCAGACAAUUGCGCUAAUUGAUACAGUUGUUUUUAAGUUAGAUACAGUGUAUCACAAAAGUGAGGACACCCCUCACAUUUCUGCAGAUUUUUAAGUAUAUCUUUUCAUGAGAUAACACUGACAAAAUGACACUUGGACCCAAUGAAAAGUAGUCUGUGUGCAGCUUAUAUAACAGUAUAAAUGUAUGCCCUUAAAAUAACUUAAUAUACAGCCAUUAAUAUCUAAACCACCAGCAACAAAAGUAAACACACCCCUAAGUGACUACACCCCUAAAUGUCCAAAUUUGAGCACUGCUUGUCAUUUUCCCUUCAAGAUUUACUAGUGUUACUAGGUCUCAGGUGUGCAUAGGGAGCAGGUGUGUUCAAUUUUGUAGUAAAGCUCUCACACUCUUUCAUACUGGUCACUGAAAGUUCCAACAUGGCACCUCAUGGCAAAGAACUUUCUGAGAAUCUUAAAAGAUGAAUCGUUGUGCAACAUGAAGAUGGCCAAGGCUUCAAGAAGAUUACCAACACCCUGAAACUGAGUAGCAGCACAGUGGCCAAGAUCAUUUAGCGUUUUAAAAGAGCAGGGUCCACUCAGAACAGACCUUGCGAUGGUCGUCCAAAGAAGCUGAGUGCACGUGCUCAGCGUCACUUCCAAAUGCUGUCUUUGAAAGAUGGGUGCAGGAGAGG